AGAGUUUGAUCAUGGCUCAGAAUCAACGCUGGCGGCGUGCCUAACACAUGCAAGUCGCACGAGAAAGGGUAGCAAUACCUGAGUACAGUGGCGCACGGGUGAGUAACACGUGAAUAAUCUACCUCCGAGUGGGGAAUAACUUAGGGAAACCUGAGCUAAUACCGCAUAACACUUACGAGUCAAAGCAGCAAUGCGCUUGGAGAGGAGUUCGCGGCAGAUUAGUUAGUUGGCGGGGUAAUGGCCCACCAAGACGAUGAUCUGUAUCCGGCCUGAGAGGGCGCACGGACACACUGGAACUGAAACACGGUCCAGACUCCUACGGGAGGCAGCAGUGGGGAAUUUUGCGCAAUGGGGGAAACCCUGACGCAGCAACGCCGCGUGGAGGAUGAAAUCCCUUGGGAUGUAAACUCCUUUCGAUCGGGACGAUUAUGACGGUACCGGAAGAAGAAGCCCCGGCUAACUUCGUGCCAGCAGCCGCGGUAAUACGAGGGGGGCGAGCGUUGUUCGGAAUUAUUGGGCGUAAAGGGUGCGUAGGCGGUUUGAUAAGUCUGAUGUGAAAUCUAUGGGCUCAACCCAUAGUCUGCAUUAGAAACUGUCGGGCUUGAGUAUGGGAGAGGUGAGUGGAAUUUCCGGUGUAGCGGUGAAAUGCGUAGAUAUCGGAAGGAACACCUGUGGCGAAAGCGGCUCACUGGACCAUUACUGACGCUGAUGCACGAAAGCUAGGGGAGCAAACAGGAUUAGAUACCCCCGUAGUCC
rnacentral:rRNA from 1 species